GCCUACGGGGGGCAGCAGUGGAGAAUAUUGCACAAUGGGCGAAAGCCUGAUGCAGCAACGCCGCGUGAAGGAAGAAGGUCUUCGGAUCGUAAACUUCUGUCCUUGGGGAAGAUAACGACGGUACCCUUGGAGGAAGCCCCGGCUAACUACGUGCCAGCAGCCGCGGUAAUACGUAGGGAGCGAGCGUUAUCCGGAUUUAUUGGGUGUAAAGGGUGCGUAGACGGGAAUACAAGUUGGUUGUGAAAGCCCUCGGCUUAACUGAGGAACUGCAACCAAAACUAUAUUUCUUGAGUAUCGGAGAGGAA
rnacentral:rRNA from 1 species